AACGCGAAGAACCUUACCUGGGUUUGACAUCCCCUGAGUACUGCAGAAAUGUAGUAGGCUCGCAAGAGACAGGGAGACAGGUGCUGCAUGGCUGUCGUCAGCUCGUGUUGUGAAAUGUUGGGUUAAGUCCCGCAACGAGCGCAACCCCUGCCUUUGGUUGCCAUCAUUCAGUUGGGCACUCCAAAGGGACUGCCGUCGUCAAGACGGAGGAAGGUGGGGAUGACGUCAAGUCCUCAUGGCCUUUAUAUCCAGGGCGACACACGUGAUACAAUGGUAGGUACAAAGGGCAGCGAAACCGCGAGGUCGAGCAAAUCCCAUAAAGCCUAUCUCAGUUCGGAUUGAAGUCUGCAAUUCGACUUCAUGAAGCUGGAAUCGCUAGUAAUCGCGGAUCAGAACGCCGCGGUGAAUACGUUCCCGGGCCUUGUACACACCGCUACAGU
rnacentral:rRNA from 1 species